GACGAACGCUGGCGGCGUGCCUAAUACAUGCAAGUUGAGCGCUGAAGGUUGGUCCUUGUACCAACUGGAUGAGCAGCGAACGGGUGAGUAACGCGUGGGGAAUCUGCCUUUGAGCGGGGGACAACAUUUGGAAACGAAUGCUAAUACCGCAUAAAAACUUUAAACACAAGUUUUAAGUUUGAAAGAUGCAAUUGCAUCACUCAAAGAUGAUCCCGCGUUGUAUUAGCUAGUUGGUGAGGUAAAGGCUCACCAAGGCGAUGAUACAUAGCCGACCUGAGAGGGUGAUCGGCCACAUUGGGACUGAGACACGGCCCAAACUCCUACGGGAGGCAGCAGUAGGGAAUCUUCGGCAAUGGACGAAAGUCUGACCGAGCAACGCCGCGGGAGUGAAGAAGGGUUUCGGAUCGUAAAACUCUGUUGGUAGAGAAGAACGUUGGUGAGAGUGGAAAGCUCAUCAAGUGACGGUAACUACCCAGAAAGGGACGGCUAACUACGUG
rnacentral:rRNA from 1 species